CCCCUCUUAAAGUCACAUCUGAAGAGUUUCCAGUACUCUGCCAGUCUUGGCUAUGGGAGGGAUAGUCAAGCAAAGUCAUACCCAUUCCAUUUCUAGCUUAGGCAGUAGCUAGGGAGUGGAAGUUAAUCCGCUACAAGU